rnacentral:rRNA from 1 species
UACGGAGGGUGCAAGCGUUAUCCGGAUUCACUGGGUUUAAAGGGUGCGUAGGUGGGUUGGUAAGUCAGUGGUGAAAUCCCCGAGCUUAACUUGGGAACUGCCAUUGAUACUAUCAGUCUUGAAUAUUGUGGAGGUUAGCGGAAUAUGUCAUGUAGCGGUGAAAUGCUUAGAUAUGACAUAGAACACCAAUUGCGAAGGCAGCUGGCUACGCAUAUAUUGACACUGAGGCACGAAAGCGUGGGGAUCAAUCAGG